CAGGAAAUGUCUGCUACAGACACAAACUGAAGUGGUGUAUGUCAUGCUGAUUCAGAAGAGAAUGAAGGCAUUUGUCAAGAGAUAAUGUCAGACUAAUCAGACAUGUUUCGGUUGAUUAUUGCAUUUGGAGGAUUUCCAAAUAUUUCUUGAUCUAAGGAAGGUGAGGUGAGGCUAAUCCAUAAUUUGUCAAUUCCACUGAAAAACUAUAAAAGUACAUUUAUGUAUAUGUAGGUAUGCUUCUUUGCACUAGAAAAUAGAUCAGUAAUUAGAUCUUAUGAGGAAGGUCCCCUUGUGAUAAUGUAAGAAUUUAACUUUGAUUUGUUGCUACUGUAACUGGAUAAUUAAUUUUAAUUUUCAAAGCCUGAGUCUGUGAGAAAAUGAUUUAGAAUUAAUAACUGACCUCCAGCUGUUGAAUAAAUUAUAAUUUUGAUUACUGAAAAUAUAUGUGUGGAGAUUAAUAUCAGUAGAAGAAAUAUAGAGACUCCUAAUAAGUAGAUGGGUUUUAAGUUCAAUUUUAGUACUGCUUUUAUGCUUUUUUACUAAGAGUUAAAUUCCAUGGUAACUCAGCAAGCAGUAUGUUAGUUUAACCAUGAAACACUUUAUAAUAGGCAUUGCACAUAAUUGUCUAUUCAUAUAUUAGGUGCAGCCUUUUCAAAAACACAGAGGAAUUGGGGCAUAUAUGGGAAAAUGUAAAUUAUUAAGGGGUUGAUUUUAACUGUUUCUUGUAAGUAACAUCUUAGGCAGGGGUGUAUGCCUUUAGGGAAACAAAAGGUUUUAAUAUAACAUUUGUAUUUGUUACAGAUAACGAAAUUGUGUAACAGGAGAAUUAUGCCUAUAAAAUGUAUAUUUCCAAAACAUGGUCAGUUGAGAUUUGUUUUAUUACAUUUGUCCUUAUGCCUUUAUGGCUGAGGUUAUUAAUAUUACUACUCUCCUCUCAGACACAUGGUUUAAAAUGCAGUCAUCUUUGACUCAUCCUUAUUUUCUCCUGUUACUUUCUCUCUCCCUUAUUGCAAACCAUCUAUCCAGUAUCUACCUAUCUAAUUCAUGGUUCUUUGUGUAAUGUUUACCUUCUCAGAAACCACUAAUGCUUCACCAUUGCAUGCUGAGUUUUAAGUUAAACCUUUUUCUUUUUUGCUAUUAAUGACAACAAUAUUACUAAGAAAAUUCACAUUUUCAACAAUUGUAUUAUAAACUCAAUUCUUUCAAUGUGUAUGUGUUAAGAGAAGGUAAGGAAAGAAGUAAAAUAAUACCAGACAACAAUAACCAAAUUAUAUUUUAUUUAAGAAUUUCUUUGAUGAAAUUAUUAUUCAAACUGGGUAUGGUAGUAUUUUGUGAGAACUACAAACAAUAAACAAAACCAACAAAAAUAAACCAAAACCUUCCUGGGAAGUUACUGAAGAACAUGUAAGAUCAGAUAAGAAUCAAUAAACUUUGUACAGUCAAAAUGAAUUCUAGUGUUGUUUACAACUUCCAGCAGGAAACAGAAGAAAGAACACCAGCUGAGCAUCCAUUUAUUGCACAACAAGCAGGUGUAGAUUCCUACUCUGUUUACUCAAUAGCAUUUUUCCAUUGAACAAGGUGCUUCUUCCCAGCCACAAUAACAUUAUAUCCAACAGCUGCUGGAGUAGUGGCACUCUUUCCCUUUAAUUAUUCAAUUGUCUUCUCUCUAAUUCAUAUCUCAAAAAUUCACACAGUAGGAGACAUGCCUAAGCAAAUUCUUUAGUCUAGGAGUCAGGCAAGGCCCCCAUGACAUAGCCUUAUUUUACUUAACCAGUUCACUUUCUUCUGUGUCCUCAAAAUAUAAUAUAGCCUAGUGAUUAGGAAUACUGGCUUGACAGUCACUUCACCUCAGUUCACAAUCCUAACUCCCAUAUUUGUUAAUUGUGCUCUUGGAAGUAGUUAUAUGAACACUUUGUACCUUAAUGUCCUCCUCCAUACAAUGGUGAUAAUUUGAUAUUACUACUCUCAUAACCUUAUUGGAGAAUUAGAUCACAGUCAUUAGAUCUACCUGUAUAUACUAUUGGCUAUUCCUGGCACUCAAUUCUCAAACAUCAAAGAGAGCUAUUGUUUCCCUCCUGCAUCUGGAUGGCUAUUUCCUAAACAUAAGCCUCUUUAGCUCUGUUGCUUCCUUGAUAAACAUGCCAUUUCAUUCUUCUUAGCCUGCUAAAAUCUCAAUUACCCCUGUAGAUCUGUUUCUAAUACAUAUCUUUAUAAUCCUUUUUAUCUGUUCAAAUGAAUAAAAUUUCACUUCCCUUUCUACUUCAUUUCUCUUUCCUCUGAGAUUUGAGUUUAAGACCAUUAAAGUAAUUUCAUAUGUAUGUAUGUUUUUCCCCUUUUCCAACCUUUCAACCUACAGUAACAAGUUAUGAAUCUAUUGGUUUAAAAUACAGCAAAAUUCCACGUUCUAUUUUUGGAUUUUCCAGGCAUACGAUGGGAAAGAAUCCUUGAAAAGAAGGAUGGUAGAUGCUUCCCUCUUUUGAACUGUGGUCAUUUUGAUUAUUUUGGACAGAUGAAGUUAAGAGAAUAUGUUAAAAGAAAUAGAAAAGAUGAGAUGCCAGCAGCAGAUGGAGAGGAAGCCCUGAAAUUGGCAGCCGUAAGAGGCAGCAGAAGCCCCUAAACUCAAGGGAAUAAAGUAAGUUGUUACCGGAGCCCACCUAUGCUCACACAGUAGAAGCUGGAAUUAUGUAAGGCCUAUCUGGGGGAAGCUGGAGUGAGAAACUCUGAUGCUGUGGAAGAAGUCAUUCAG